ACUUCGAUGUCUGACUUCGCGUGUUCAGACCAAACUGACUAUACGCCGCCGAAUGUGAGCAGGCUCACUGUGAGCCCCAGUGUGAACGUGAGUGAGCGAGAAAAUAUACGGUAUCGAAUGUCCGCGCCCAUGCCUAUUGUAAUGGCGUAUUGUCGGUUAGGUGUGAACGAAAAAGUGAAUUGGUAUGGAAAUACAAUAAACUGAGUAACGUUGGCUCACAUUCGGCGGCUCACAGUCGGUUUGGUGUGAACACGGCUUU